GUUUUUCUUCGUCCGACUGCUUGGGAUUGCUUCGUCGGGAUUCAGCACCAUCGUCAGACGUCCGUCACAACUCAGUGCUAUCGACGUCAUCGCCACUUUAGCUUUUGUUCUCUGCUUCGCAGCCUCCUUCUAGUCAUGGGGUCCACGUCUAUUCAUCGCUUCCAGGCUCUACUCCUUGGCUGUCUCCAAUUUUCUCCAAGUUAGGAAUCGUUGAGUUCCCUAAAGCAGAGCAUGUUUCGGAUUGAUUGCUAGUGCCGUCGAAGGUUAGGCGGAGCACUGGAUCAUCGGAUUUUGUGCUUACGACGGUGUUCUACGUGAGUGUGUUGGCGCUAGGGUUUCUGUCGAAAAGGGAUGCACAUAGUCUCUAUUCAUCACCGAGUAUCAAACUAGUGUGUAAUCUGGUGGCAGCGUGAUUGACGAUGGGAUAACAGGGUGGAGAUAUUUCCAUCUCAUUUGUUUCUGUGGGGAGGCACUGAAAGCCAGCAGGGGAUUGGGGAAAACGGAGAAGAUUUUUGGGAAGGAAAGUGAUACUGUAGAGGAGGAAGGGAAAGCAGGAAGGACGCGGCAGAAUGAGGUUCGGCACUCCCCUGCAGAUCAAGCUUGUGAUUCUGGGUGAUGGGCGUGUAGGAAAGACAUCUCUCGCGCUGCGAUAUGUUCACAAUGUGUUCUCUGAGAAGCAAAUGGCUACAAUUCAGGCUUCGUUCUUAACGAAGCGCUUGACUGUGGAUGGACAAGUUGUCAGUCUUUGCAUUUGGGAUACAGCUGGGCAGGAGCGAUUCCAUGCACUUGGUCCUAUCUACUACCGUGAUGCUGAUGCAGCGCUAUUGGUGUAUGACUUGCUGGACAAAGACAGUUUCGACCGUGUUCAAAGUUGGGUGCGAGAGCUGAAGAAGAUGGCUUCCAAAAAUAUCGUGUUGUCAAUCGCUGGCAAUAAGAGCGACAUGGCUAAGUCGUUGCACGGGAACAUGCAGGACGCUGAGAUGUAUGCAGAGUCAAUAGGGGCAACUCACUUUGUAACUUCUGCAAAACUUAACGCUGGCAUUGAGGAGACCUUCAUGGACAUAGCUCGUCGUGUGAUGCAACAAAGAGCCGCGGAGGGUAUCGAUAACCCUGCCAGUGGUCCGCGACGAAAGAGUGUUGUCAUUGCUGACAAAGAAACUGCAAAUACGCCACCUACUUCUAGGUGCUGUUCGUAGCUGGCGACCUGUAUAUAUUGUAGGUUUUCACCUUAAUUGUUUAGCAAUCUUUUUUCUUUGUAGUCACAUUAUUCUUUGUCAUCGCUGCGACAGUUACUGAGUAAUGGUGGCGUCUCGAUGAGUUGUUUUGACAAUGGCAAGCUUGGUAGAUACAAGCUACGGCACUUCAUGAUAAGACGUGAAAUUCGGAGGUCUGGUUUUUCAUGGAUAGCUUUAAGAACGAAAACUUUUGGUUGUAUUACAUGACAUACUUCUGCCAAGGGAUGUAGCAGGGCACUUGAAGCGCAAAUUAGUGAUUCUGUCUUCUAUUUUUAUUCGAUUUAGCUCCUGUGGUGGGCAGAUAGGCUAAACCUUUGUUAAACGAGGGACCAUUGUGAAGGAAAUAAUAAUAUGCACACAAUUAUGGCUGUGUGGCUCCUGGGUAUGUACAUUAAAGACCGGUGCGCUACAGCAAGGCUCAUGUGGUAUCAAAUGCUUUUCAGUUGAAAGAAUAGAAGAAUUGGCAGGCAUACACAAACAGAUGACGAGCAAAGGCCAAGCGAGAGCUGUAACAUGUGCACAGCAAGUUGGAUGAGGCAUGCCAGAGGCGAAGUUGAUGGCGUUUUCGCGAUUUGAAAGGUUAUUUUAAAACAAAGUGGGUUAGAGAAGUGGGAUAUUGCGGGCAUGGAGUACAGAUGAGAAAAAGAAAAGUUCGCGACGUUACGGCUCACAUCCUUGUGAAUAAAGAUAGUUACCAACUGAAGUCCGCACAACAGUUUCUCUGCGAUGACAAAGCCAUGGCCCCAACCCAUUUCGAGUUCAAAUCUGGGCCGUCACUCCUCUGAGUUUCUAGAGCUUG